rnacentral:rRNA from 1 species
UGGUGGAGCGAUUUGUCUGGUUAAUUCCGAUAACGAACGAGACUCUGGCCUAUUAAAUAGUUCACCGAUUCCGAUCUGUCGGCGUUAACUUCUUGAGGGACAAGUGGCUUUUAGCCACGCGAGAUUGAGCAAUAACA